AGUGAACGCUGGCGGUAGGCCUAACACAUGCAAGUCGAACGGCAGCACAGUAAGAGCUUGCUCUUACGGGUGGCGAGUGGCGGACGGGUGAGGAAUACAUCGGAAUCUACUUUUUCGUGGGGGAUAACGUAGGGAAACUUACGCUAAUACCGCAUACGACCUACGGGUGAAAGCAGGGGAUCUUCGGACCUUGCGCGAUUGAAUGAGCCGAUGUCGGAUUAGCUAGUUGGCGGGGUAAAGGCCCACCAAGGCGACGAUCCGUAGCUGGUCUGAGAGGAUGAUCAGCCACACUGGAACUGUGCCACGGUCCAGACUCCUACGGGAGGCAGCCGUGGGGAAUAUUGUACAAUGGGCGCAAGCCUGAUCCAGCCAUACCGCGUGGGUGAAGAAGGCCUUCGGGUUGUAAAGCCCUUUUGUUGGGAAAGAAAAGCAGCAGGUUAAUACCCCGCUGUUCUGACGGUACCCAAAGAAUAAGCACCGGCUAACUUCGUG
rnacentral:rRNA from 1 species